rnacentral:rRNA from 1 species
GAUCAUGGCUCAGGAUGAACGCUAGCGGCAGGCUUAACACAUGCAAGUCGAGGGGCAGCAUAAUGGAUAGCAAUAUCUAUGGUGGCGACCGGCGCACGGGUGCGUAACGCGUAUGCAACCUACCUUUAACAGGGGGAUAACACUGAGAAAUUGGUACUAAUACCCCAUAAUAUCAUAGAAGGCAUCUUUUANGGUUGAAAAUUCCGAUGGUUAGAGAUAGGCAUGCGUUG